rnacentral:misc_RNA from 1 species
CUAUCUUCUUCUCCAUCUUCAGGCCUAACUUCAGCAAUAGUCAUAUUGUUAGCCUUAACACUAAGAAAUCCACUUCCCUUAUUCCUCAAUGAACCCUCCAAGCAACGAAAUCGAAAAAUUUCACAAAACAAACUUCUGGGGUUUGAAGUUAAAGAUCUAGAAUGUGGGAAUCUCAAAGAAGAUGGGGCUUCAUAGAAGGAAGUGGUGGUUGCUACGGCGGCGGAAGUGGAAAAAGGGGGAGGAGAAAGAGAGAGAUUUAUAGAGAGAGAAG